UCAAUCAGGGAAAGUCUUUACAUCGCCAUCUUUCAAUUUCAACGCGAGAUUCUUCACCGACCCCACGAGGACCUAUCAGGGCUACAACAUCUCCUUCACGCCUGCAACCACGAGUUGUCACCAGAUAAUCACGGCAGCUGUUGGUCAGACUGGCACAAUAACUUCCCCUCCAGCAGAAAAAUACUGCGAAUACCGAAUCCAGGCUCCUUCUGGAAGUCGCGUGAAGGUCAACGAAGUUACAUCAAGGAUUCUAGGGACAACGAACUGUGAAACUGACUGGCUUCUGCUGAACGGGAGGAGUGAGAGGAUGUACCCGUCAAACACCACCUUAAUUAUCUGCGGCAAUAGGGUAGUGCCUUCACCUCUGACAUCCCAGACCAAUGAGAUUUACGCAGCUUAUCAAGGCACCAGCAGCAGCAGCCGCGGUUUCACUAUCAAGUAUACCGUCAUCUAAGUCAAACGUUCCUGGAUUUUCUCGCCAAUCACGACUCCAAUGUAUCUAUACGGGCACGAAUUUCAUUUUCUUUACAACAAAGGAGACAGCUCAAGGGCACACAAAAAAGGAAACAAUGAUGAUAAAAAAGAGCCGGCUUCUCGCUGCUCCUAAAAAAAUGAAUCAAAAGAGGUGGCCGAAAGAGAGGUCAAUUUCGGGAGGAGAAUUCAUUAGUACACCUGCAACCCUUUCAGUUCGCCUCUUGCCCACGAUGUUUCUUUGUUUAAAAUCAUAUCACUGGUAAGCCAAGUCAGCUGAUAUAACUUAAACGA